CAGCACCUCAAGUGGUCAGGAUGAUUAUUGGGCCUAAAGCAUCCGUAGCCGGCGCUGUAAGUUUUCGGUUAAAUCUGUACGCUCAACGUACAGGCUGCCGGGAAUACUGCAGAGCUAGGGAGUGGGAGAGGUAGACGGUACUCGGCAGGAAGGGGUAAAAUCCUUUGAUCUAUUGAUGACCACCUGUGGCGAAGGCGGUCUACCAGAACACGUCCGACGGUGAGGGAUGAAAGCUGGGGGAGCAAACCGGAUUAGAUACCCGAGUAGUCC
rnacentral:rRNA from 1 species